rnacentral:rRNA from 1 species
ACGGGUGAGUAAUGCUUAGGAAUCUGCCUAUUAGUGGGGGACAACAUUCCGAAAGGAAUGCUAAUACCGCAUACGCCCUACGGGGGAAAGCAGGGGAUCUUCGGACCUUGCGCUAAUAGAUGAGCCUAAGUCAGAUUAGCUAGUUGGUGGGGUAAAGGCCUACCAAGGCGACGAUCUGUAGCGGGUCUGAGAGGAUGAUCCGCCACACUGGGACUGAGACACGGCCCAGACUCCUACGGGAGGCAGCAGUGGGGAAUAUUGGACAAUGGGCGAAAGCCUGAUCCAGCCAUGCCGCGUGUGUGAAGAAGGCCUUUUGGUUGUAAAGCACUUUAAGCGAGGAGGAGGCUACUUAGAUUAAUACUCUAGGAUAGUGGACGUUACUCGCAGAAUAAGCACCGGCUAACUCUGUGCCAGCAGCCGCGGUAAUACAGAGGGUGCGAGCGUUAAUCGGAUUUACUGGGCGUAAAGCGUGCGUAGGCGGCUUCUUAAGUCGGAUGUGAAAUCCCUGAGCUUAACUUAGGAAUUGCAUUCGAUACUGGGAAGCUAGAGUAUGGGAGAGGAUGGUAGAAUUCCAGGUGUAGCGGUG